rnacentral:lncRNA from 1 species
GACAUAAAAGCACCCCUCGUGCAACAGCUUGGAAAGUGACUCGAAAAUUUCGUAUUUGGAAAGACAAGGAAACUCAUACCAAUUCGAUUCUGAUACUGUUACAGGCACUUGAAUAAAAUCCUAAAUGGAACAAAGAAAAAAAAAAAACAGCUCCACCUUAGACAGUUAAUCUUUUUUGCUUUCUCAAUGUAAUCCUCACAACGCCAGUGGAUACUGGAAACAAGCGCGUCAACACCUGCAGAUCAAUUCGGAGGUUUUUCACCGUUCUUGAACCUUGAAAGAACUUCAUAGUAUGGCUCACGGCUCGUUAUCCAUGCAGAUUCCGACCUCGAUAGAAAGACCUAGCUCUGCGAGGCGAAAUGAAAGAGGGAUAAUUUAGGUAAUUUGCACUGACCUUGUAAAUGAUUCACUUACGCUCCUUUCAUUACUAAUCCACGUGAAAUAGUGACGAAAAUCGAUCACAUAUUGUCCAUGUGCUUCAAUUAUAUGCCUUUAUGUCCAAAAUAUCUUUAUUUAAAAACCUAUUAAUAAGGGUUGUGUUUGUUCUCCCAUUGGAUUGCAUAAGUUUGUAUAUGAAAUAUUGACUUAUUUAUCACAAAAAAUAAUAAUAUUUUGGAUAUAAUGGCAUGUAAUUGAAGCACGUGAACAACAUGUGAUCGAUUUCUAUUACUAUUUCGAACAGAUUAAUAACAGAUGGGGUUAUAUAAUUAAAUAGUUAAAGAAAUUAAUACGAUUUACAUUUU